UGGGGAAUAUUGGACAAUGGGCGAAAGCCUGAUCCAGCCAUGCCGCGUGUGUGAAGAAGGUCUUCGGAUUGUAAAGCACUUUAAGUUGGGAGGAAGGGCAGUAAGCGAAUACCUUGCUGUUUUGACGUUACCGACAGAAUAAGCACCGGCUAACCCUGUGCCAGCAGCCGCGGUAAUAAAGAGGGUGCAAGCGUUAAUCGGAAUUACUGGGCGUAAAGCGCGCGUAGGUGGUUCGUUAAGUUGAAUGUGAACGCCCCGGGCUCAACCUGGGAACUGCAGCCAAAACUGGCGCGCUAGACUAGGUCAGAGGUUGUUGGAAUUUCCUGUGUAGCGGUGAAAUGCGUAGAUAUAGGAAGGAACACCAGUGGCGAAGGCGACCACCUGGGCUCAUACUGACACUGAGGUGCGAAAGCGUGGGGAGCAAACAGG
rnacentral:rRNA from 1 species